UUCGAGGAGAAAAAGGUAUUGAGACGUCUGCAGACCUCGUACGAUGCUAAUCGCACAUUUUCAUUGGGCGGAUACUUAUCAAGCAUUGGUCCGUCUCAUAAUUUUUCUCUAUAAAUACUGACAGAAAAUUCAAUAGUUAUAACAAGCCGACUCUUCUUCUUGAGCACAUUAAUUUGCGCUAGUUACUGCAACCCACAAGCAAAUCUCUCUCAACCAUGGGCAAGGAAAGGACUACCGUCAACAUCACCCUCAUCGGACACAUUGCUUGAAUACUUCUUCAAACAUAAAAAUGGACUUCUUGAUAGAACAAUGGUAACGGAUGGAUUAUCUACGAUUCGAUUGAUAAAAUACAAAAAAAUAUUCACAUAUUCCCACACAUGUAGCUACUUUCAAACACAUACUCCUAAACACAAAAAUUAUUGUCAAUAAAAUUUGAAUUUCUAAUUCUAAA